UACGGAAGGCAGCAGUGGGGAAUAUUGCACAAUGGGCGCAAGCCUGAUGCAGCCAUGCCGCGUGUAUGAAAAAGGCCUUCGGGUUGUAAAGUACUUUCAGUCGUGAGGAAGGUGUUAAGGUUAAUAACCUUAGCAAUUGACGUUAGCGACAGAAGAAGCACCGGCUAACUCCGUGCCAGCAGCCGCGGUAAUACGGAGGGUGCGAGCGUUAAUCGGAAUUACUGGGCGUAAAGGGCACGCAGGCGGUUAAUUAAGUUGGAUGUGAAAUCCCCGGGCUUAACCUGGGAAUGGCAUUCAAGACUGGUUAGCUAGAGUCUUGUAGAGGGGGUAGAAUUCCAUGUGUAGCGGUGAAAUGCGUAGAGAUGUGGAGGAUACCGGUGGCGAAGGCGGCCCCUGGACAAAGGACUGACGCUCAUGUGCGAAAGCGUGGGGAGCAAACG
rnacentral:rRNA from 1 species